AUCGAUUGCUUGAAGAAAACAAUGUUGAUAAAAUAUUACUUGUCGGAUCGUUAGCGCUAAUCAUUAAUCCCAAAAGCUCGAGCUGUAGAAAUACGUAACCAAUUCACUUAAAACGUACAGAUACAGCGCCCACAGGUCUCGAUUAUGACUGGGUCCAACCAGCCUCAUGCCACUUCGAACAUGACUCAACUCACCCUCACGCUAUUUCGAACAUAACUCAGCCCAACAUAGCCUUUCGCCAUAAAGCAAAAUGCUAACUCAUUUAAGCCAGCAAUCCCCUCUCUAGCAUCUGCACACAUUUGCAGUAUUGGGGAAUCGAACUCGCGAUUUCUGGCUCUGAUACCACUUGUCGAAUCGUUAGCGCUAACCAUUAAUUCCAAAAGCACGUGCCGUUAGAAAUAUAAAACCAAUUCACUUAAAACAUACAGAUACAGCGCUCACGAGUCUCGAUUGUGACUCGACCUAACAGGCCUCACGUCACUUCGAACAUGACUCGGCCCAACAUGACCUUCCGCCACAGGACAAGAUGCUGACUUAUUUAAGCCAACAUUAGGUACGUACGCACGCAUUUUCUUUUUUCUCUCAGUUGGCACAUGCAACCUAUCCUAUCAUGGCGCUCGCAACGAGAGCUUUACUAGAGCAAGUGACAGGUUUUGUUUGCCUAUCGAGGCAGUCGCACUCAUCGUCACAUAAAAAAGAAAAUCGACUGGCCUCUUGUGUGAAUGAAAAGCUAAAUUCGACUAUAUUAUGUCGAGAUCCGAGCGUGCACUAGAAUAUUUUUGCGAGCUAACUGUUCUUGAUCACUGAUCAGUCUCUUGUAUCUGUCCUUCGACUGCACGGAAAAUGCUUUUUUUUGUUCCCCUCCUAAUAUUCAAUAACAAGUUGCAUGGAGCAUGUCUCCUGAUCAGAGUAUAUAUACUUGUUUAUUAAUUCCUAGAAUGGCUUUUCAUAUAUAUACUGUUGUAGUACAUGGCUUGACAAUUCUUUACUCACAAAUCCAUGCCAUUUGUAGCAUUAAUUUUUUAAUUAAAUCCCUACUUUCUUUGCCUCCUUUCACAUUCAAUUCUCUUCACCACCUUCCUGUGGACACAAAGUUUCUAUGCCUAGGAUGCUUAAAACAAUCAUGAUUUUCAUUUGUACCUAAUUUUGUUAGUUUCUUUACUUGCCCUCUCCUUCAUGGUCUCUGUUUGUUCAGUUCUUGUCAUGUUGAAAUAACAAUGACAUGCAAAUACCAAAAUAAAGGAAUAUUUUAUGUAAUUUUAAGCAAAUGCUGUCGCUGUUCGACACAAAUUUUUGCUGCAUUUGAAACAGUUGGCAAGCUAUAUAGUGUUCAAUGCUGCAGCAUUUUUUUUUCUCAUUUCUUGCUUAAAAAUAUCCUAAUAAAAGAACAUUAGAUAGAUAUAAAAUAUUGAAGUACAUCUCCUAAGUUUUUGAAAUUACGGAAGCCUCCGUACUUAUAAGUUAUUUUUUAUGAUGGGAUAUCUAAUUCGAUGAUCAACUCUAUUGUGAAUGAUCUAUACUAUUAGAACUAUUUAGAAAUUAAAUUUCAUAAUUUUUCGACAUCAUUUAGCAAGUAAUCAAUAAGUCUAAAAAAUGACUAUUUUAAUGGCCGAUGUGGCACGUUUGUAAGUUCAACGAUAUAGAACAAUUCAAAUUACAUAAAACUUUGGCUAAAUUACAUAAAAACCCAGUCAAAACCUGAUUUUUCACUUUUCCCCCCUGUCAUUUAAAAACCUACACUUUGUCCCCUUAUAAAAUGAAAAAUGUUCACGGGGUUGUACGAUGUGAACAGUGAUGACAAAAUGACCAUUUUGCCCCUCACCAUUUUCGUCUCCUCCCUCAUCUUGCUCAUCCGCCGCCUCGAUCGGCCGCAGUUCGCGCCUCAAUCGACCGCAGUGCCUUUCCAUUUUCUUCUUCACCUACUUCCCUUCUCCUCCUACACCUUCGUCGCCCCUCCAUUUCAGCGACAGUAGGGAGGAAAUCGAGGUGGGCGUGGAGGGAGAGGUGGGCAAGGGCAACGAGGGCGAAGGCGAGGCGGUGGAGGAGAGCGAGGGGGUGUUUGUGGGUGCGGACGGAGAUGUAGGCGAGGGCGAGACAGUGGAGGAGGGCGAGGCGGCAAGGCGGAGGAGGGUUAAGCAUCAGUAGAGAGGGUGGAGGGUAUUUUUGACAUAAAAAAAUAUUUUAUAACGGAACCCUAACGGAUCACUAACGGUAGGGGAUAAAGUGAAUUUUUUUCAUUUUACAGGGGGGCAAAGUGUAGGUUUUUAAAUGACAGGAGAAAAAACUGAAAAAUUAAAUUUUUACAGGGGGGUUUUCUGUAAUUUAGCCUAAAACUUUAAUAGAAAAUUUUACUUAAUAUUAAGAGUAAAAUCAAUAAUUCCGGUUUGAAAUUUAAAUUUUUUAUUACUAUUUUUUGUAAGAUUUUUAUUUUCAGCCGUUUAUUUUGAGACUACAAGCUUACUAUGCAAACAAAGCUAAAAAAUUGUGAAAUUUGGAUUCUAAAUAGUUCUAAUAAUAUGGAUUAUGCCUAAUAGAGCCAAUCGUUGAAUCAGAUGUCCUAUUAUCAAAAACAACUUAUAAGUAUGGAGACCUCCGUACUUUCGAAAGUACAGGAGUCUAGCUCUAAACUAUUGUUACUCUUAUCAAUCUGGGACUCCUCUAUAUACUAUUCCCGUUAUGCUUCUAAUUUCAAUCAUAUAAAUAUAUAUAAAAAGUUAGGCUGGUAUAUUAUCGAUAACACAGAGGCCUUUAUACUACCAAAUUAUUUUCAAUGAUGUAGCUUCCAACUCGAUGAUCGACUCCAUUAGACUUGAUCUAUAUUAUUGAAAGUAUUUGGAAACAAAAUUUCAUAAUUUUCGAUAUCAUUUACCUAUCAAACGAGUAGUCUAAAAAUGAAAAGCUGAAAAUAAAAAUCUCAUAAAAAAUGAUGAUAAAAGACUUGAAUUUAAGAUCAGGGGUACUGAUCUUACUCUAAAUAGUGAAAGAAUUUUCUAUAAAAAUUUUAUCAGAUUUGAAUUAUUUUACACCGUUAAAUUCACAAACGCAUCACAUAUACCAUUAAAAUUGUCAAUUUUGAGACCUUUUGAUCACUAGUCAAAUGAUGUCGAAAAAUUAUGAAAUUUAAUUUUCAAAUACUUUUAAUAGUGUAAAUACAAGUCUAAGGGAGUCGAUCGUCGAUUUGGAAGCCGCAUCAUUAAAAACAACUUAGCAGUACGGAGGCCUCCGUGCUACCAAUAGUAUACCAGCCUAGCUCUAUAUAUAUAUUUAUAUAUAUAUAUAUAUAUAGAGAGAGAGAGAGAGAGAGAGAUCUAGAGAGAGAGAGAGAGGGAAAGAGAGAGGAUUGCUAUGCUCUUAGGAGCAUGGAGGUCUCAGUGCUUCUGAGCUGUUUUCGAUGAUAGAAUCUUGGAAUCGACAAACGGCUCCGUUAGACUUGAUCUAGCAUAUUUCGGAGUAAGGAUAUCUGAAAUUCCACAGUAUGAGAUACUUACUUUGCCCAUUAUACGAUGGCAAAAGAAUCUUUUUUUUCUUUUUCUUCAACGUAUACUUUAUAGAACAAGCAUCCGUGUGAAGGGUGAUUUUCGCCCUAAGUUAGAACCCAGUGUUAUGACUCUCGCUCAUCAUACAUAAUUAAUAGAAUCUUUCAAUAAUUAGCAGUACUCUGGGUUACUCUGGGUUUGGGAUUUAAGUUUAAAUCUUUGGUGACUAAAAUCAACAUUUGUUGAAUUAAAGAUCCCAAUUAAAGUGGUUAUGGAAAGUUUUCAACUUUUAUAGUAUUUAUGAGAAUGUUUUAGUCAUUAUAGUACGAAUGGAUAGAUUUAUAUAUGUAAGAAAGUUUAAAUGGGAAUAAACAUUUGAGGCAAUUUGUAACAUUAACAAAGUAACCUAAUUUUUAAUUUAAUGGCUGAGAUGGGAACUGGGAAUUUUCCACAACUUCCUAUAUCACUCUUUUAUAUAUAAGUUGGGGGAGUUUUGAUAUCCGACAAAACUUCUUCUAGUUGUUAGUUAUCUACUUUAUAACCUCUUUUUUUUUCUUUCUUUUAUAUAAGACUUAAAUAAUUACACUGAUCUUUGAUUUUUCGUAACACCCCUAGAUUCUUUUCGAUUCUUCUAAAAGCCUCCGGUUUUCAUAUUCGAAACGAAGUCGAAGAAGUAGAAACCGCAGACGACGUUGUUUUUAGAUAUAAUCUUCUACAACUACUUCGUUGACUAUGGACUAUUCGUAGAGAUAGGUUUUUCAUGAAAGAGUGUCUGUUCGGUUAGUUCUUAUUAAUAUAUAAAUUAUUACUUUCUAAAUACUUACGGACUACGUACCAUCCUACUAAUUAAGGGAGGUUAAUUGUUACUUAAUAAUAGUAACAUUUUAGUAAAGAAUUAAAUCCUUUCUUUAUAACAUCGAUUUUUCAACCACCACAGUGCAACGUACCGUAACAUGGUAUCUAAGAGGUGACGGAUUUUGCACUGUUUGAUAUACGUACGAAAAAAAAAAAAAGAUUAAUUUCAUUAAGUAAUUACACAGUAGUGUGUACGCGGAUUAAUAUUGGAGUUUUAUUAGGAGAGAAACUGUUAGUAAAAAAAAAUUAAUCAAUAUAGGUAAACGUAAUUAGUCGACAAACUAAUAGAUGUAACAUUCGAUAUUAUAUCCAUGUUAACAUGUGUUCGAGCUUUUUCAGAUAAAUUAAUGGAUAUCACAUCCUGAAUCUAUGUUAUUAACCUAAAUAUAUCUAUUUCCGAACUAACAACGUAAAGCAGGAUAUAGCUUUAAUCUACAUUUAGUAUUAAAUCGUCGACCUCUCUCAUUGAGAUGAGCUAUUUAUUAAUUAAUGAAUAGAAAGCGGAGUAGUCCUUUUCUUUUCUCUUUUCAAACGAAGAAACUCCAAUUAGAGUGGUAGAGCAUAAAUUUUAUCUUUCUACAUGCUUAUAACGAAAGUUAACGUUCAUUGGUUUUGAAUUUUAGGCAUCAGCGUUGUAAGAGUUAAUUUAUCAUGGCACGCUCAAUUUACGUUUACAAUAUUGAUGUAGGCUGGUUUGUUUUGUGGUCAAAAUAAAUUCUCGAAAAAACCUACGAACUUGUACGCCAAAUCAUAGUACACCGAAUUGGCUGGCAGGGAUCUCGUUCACCGUUUUCCAAACCACCAACCAUGGGCUCUGGAUUCAAGCUUAGGAUCAACUAAGUGUAAAGGUCGAUUUAAAUAAAGAUUUACUUUAUUUGCUUCGCCCAUCGCAUGCACGAUGAAUAGAGAGAGAGUUUUUUUUUCAUAGUACACCGAAUCAAAUGAGUUCCUAGUACGUUGUUAACUGUCUACUUAUCAUAUGAAUCUAUAUACAACGAAGAUUUAAUAAUAAGACUUUUUUCUUUUUGAUUAGUAUUCACGGAAAUCUCUGAAACUAGGUUCAAGAUCAUAAGUUUGUAAGUUUAUCAAAGAUUUUCUUUGACUAGAUAUUUCACACCUCUCACUAACCAGAAUAUGGUUUCUUAAGAAUUUAAUUUUCACAAUGCUGCUCACGUGUUUGUUUUUGCUUUCUGCCGUUUGCACUUUAUUUGUUUCAUGUUCGUCUUUUAUUUUAUUUGUGUUUCUAAAUGCACUUUUUAAGAAAAGUCCUUUUUUUAAUACCUACUUUCUCCUCUCUUAAAAUGAUACUUUUUUUUUCAUAUUACAAUACUUCUAAUGUUAUGCGAUGUAGUCUGGUUCCAGAGGCGAUGGGUGGUGUCUGUAGAUAAAAAGAAGGUGUUAAGUAAAGGGUUUUUAAGAUAGCGUGAUGCUUUAACAGUUAUUUAGUACCCGGGUUUUAGUUUCAACUAUUAGUUUAAAGCUCCGUGGAGAUUAAACGUUGGUGAAUGAGUUAAUCACUCCGACCAUACUAAGGCCUUCGUGUUUUGGGAGGUAUGAAGAUUCACGUACCAAAAGCUACAACUCUAAAAGCUUAGUUGUUAAACGAGACAAUCUGAACUAGUUCACAUAAACUUAAUGGACUUUUUAUUUAAAACACUAAAAAGCUAUAGUAAACGGAUUACUAGCUUCCCCGAGUUUUAAUUAUUAAAAUUACCGGCACCACUCGGCAAACGUUCAAAUUGCCACAUUUUUAUAAGUUUAGUACAUUUUAAAACUAUCUUUUAAAAAAUAUGAUAUAUUUUGUUCUAGUUAUAGAAACUAGAUUUUAAAAUUAUAAUAUAGUAGUGUAAAACAUUCUAAAAAUAAAAAUCGGCAACUAAAACUGGGGGAAGCUAGUAAUCCGUUUACUAUAACUUUUAGUUUUUUUAAUAAAAGAUAGUUUUAUUAGAUCUAAUUCAAAUUGUCUCGGUGGCUAGCAGCUAAACUUUCAGGGUUAUAGCUUUUACUGAACCUUCGUGCCUCCCGAGGCACGAAGGUCUUCGUAUGGUUGGCAUUAGAGAGAGAGAGAGAGAGAGAGAGAGAGAGAGAGAGAGAGAGAGAGAUAUAUAUAUAUAUAUAUAUAUAUAUAUAUAUAUCUCUCUCUCUCUCUCUCUCUCCCCCCUUUCUCUCUCGCGUUCCGACGACACGAGAAUCUUCGUGUCUUCUGAGGCGGGAAGCACGAGGACUCGGUAAAAGUUACUACUUUAAAAGCUUAAUUGCUAGCCGAGGCAAUUUAAACUAGAUCGCAUAAACUUCAAACCCUAUUAACGGAUAUAUGGGCAGUAUACAAACUUUUAUAGGUUAAAUGGGGAUAAAAAAAAAAGAAAGAUUUUAUGGGGAAUAUACAAGGUGGCAAUCACGUUUUAUGAGGGCGUCAAUAGAGGACAAUUCAAUUGAACCCAAUUUGCACUCAAUUUGUAGAUGGCGUCAAUUUUUUUUAAUUUUACGGUUAAAACGGGAAUUGAAUUCCCGUUUAUUCUUUACAACCACUGUCAUCUCCCCAUAUAUAACCUUUUCUGGUUUUCAAUUUCAUUAAAAACAUGGGGACCGAAAUUCCCGAUUAUUCUUUCAGUCACUACCACCUUCCCAUAUAAACUUUCCCGUUUUAUCAUUAAAAUGUCUCAAUUAUCUCAAUUAAUUGUUUAAAAUUAUAUAAUCUUUAUCCAACCUUGCAUUUCUCCCAUAAAAGUUAUAAUCGUAAGAUUCUCCCCAUUUAACCUUUCAGCCUUUGAAAAGUGCCCAUAUAUUCGUUAACGGGGAAUUUCAAAGAUCUUUUAUUAAAAACACUAAAAAGCUAUAAUAAAUGGAUCACUAGUUUUCCCAAGUUUUAGUUAUCAAAAAUUAUUAACUACAGACGGCAAAGUUCAAAUUGCCCCAUCUUCAUAAAUUUAGUCUAUUUUAAAACUAUGUUUUAAGAAAUAUAAUAGAUGUUGUCGUAGUUAUUGAAACUAGCUUUUAAAAUUACAAUAUAGUGUUGAAAAAUAUCUUAAAAAUAAAAAUCGGCAACUACAAUUUAGGAAGACUAACGAUUCAUUUAUUAUAGUUUUUUGACAUUUUUAAUAAAAGAUCUUUGAAGNGCUAGUUUAACGGUGUAAAAGAAUCGAAAUUUGUUGAAUUUUUGAUAGAAAAUUCUAUUCACUACAUAGAUAAAGAUCAAUAACUCCGAUCUUGAAUUGAAGAAUCCGAUUAUCCUUUUUUAGGACGUCGUUCGAUUUUGACCAUUCAUUUUAUGCCCACUUGAUGGAUUUAAUUAUGAUUUCGAAAAUUUACGAAAUUUAUUUUCUAGAAGUUUCAAAUACUCUAGAUCAUAUUUAACGGAGUGGAUUGUCGAUUCGGAAGCUCCAUCAUUAAAAAUAACUUAUGAGUACGAUGGCUCCAAUACUCAUAAUAGUAUAGUAGCCAUGGCCUAUAUAUAUAUAUAUAUCACACACACACACACACACACACACACACACACACACACACACACACACACACACGAAGGUUGCAAAUACAACUUAUAUAUAUCACACACACACACACGAAGGUUGCAAAUACAACUUAUCUAAUGUGACAACAUGCCAUGGGGACUUUUGAGAGAAGUCCCAACUCAACACGGCAUGAGCUAUAGUCUUACCUAUAAAUGCAAAAAACUAACAUGAUAGAUAUAUGGCGCAGUAAAGAAAAAAGUUAAAAUAUUUUGAACAUAAGUAUACCAAGUUGGAGACUCUCAGACACAAACCUGUUAAUUAAUUGAGAAAAAUAACAUGACUGUCGAAGAUGAAUGCUGCAAAUAUGUUUGUUUUUGCACCAAGUAAUCACUCAAUUGAUCUGCCAAGGAUUAGAAAUUAUGAACCCACAAAUGACUUCUUAUAAGAGCUUCUUUAUUCAUGUGAAAACUUUUGACUACUGCAAGGUAUAAUCAAACACCAAUCUUACAAUUAUUGACAAGAAAUGUUCAACAAACAAUUAAUUAAAUUCUAUGAAUAUAUCAUUGCUUUUACAAGUUAUAAAUCAUUUCCUGUUAUUACUAUCUUAAGUUGUCAUAUCUAAUUAAUGGAUCUACUGCUUCUGAGUUUGAUGAAGUUGUAAUUUAUGUCUGAUGAUUAAAAUUGCAUCUGCGCGCACGUGAGAUGAAAAAAAAUUUAUCGGUUUGCUUAAUUUUAGCAUCAUUAGUUAUUGUUAUUAUUGUUUGUAUUUUAAAAAAAGCAACAAUUUGCUUUAUCUUCAUGAUCUAUGUUCACGUGCACUAAACAAGUUCAAAAUAUUUGAUCAGCGAUAACCUAUUAUUUAAUUACUCUAAAAAAAGCUCAAAACCACUAAUAUAAUACUAAUUAUGCCUGCUAACACUUAAGUCGACAGUCAAUUUAUUAGACCAAAUGUUAAUCAACUCUCCACUCGCUUUUAGCGCUUCGAGCUACAAAAAGGCGAUAAGUUCAAAUGAGAAUAUUCAUGUUUUAAUCGAUUGACUAAUUAUAACAAAAUAGAUCCUUCACUAUUGAUGAUAUGUGCUAUUAAUAAUAUUCCAGCCUAGUUAUAUAUAUAUAUAGAGCAGGGCUGCUGUGCUCUCAGGAGCACGGAGGAGCACGUCCGUGCUCCUGAGCCGUUUUCGAUGAUGGAGUUUUCGAAUCGACGAUCGGCUCCGUUAAACUUGAUCUAGUAUAUUUGAAGUUUCUAGAAAUAAUUUUUGCGAUUUUUCGUUAUCAUUUACCUAGCAAUCGAAAUGAUUCAAAAUCAAUAAUUUUUAACAGCUUAAAAUAAAAAUUCUAUAAAAAGUGGUGAUAUAGCACUAAAAUUUUCGAUCAAAAUUAUUGAUCUUGUUAUAAAUAGUAUAAAGAAUUUUGUAUCAAAAUUUCAUCUGAUUUGAAUACUUCUACACCGUUAAACUUGAAAACGGCAGAUAUCAACCAUUAAAAAUUAUGGAUUUUGAAUCCUUUCGAUCACUAGGUAAAUGAUAUCGAAAAAUCGCAAAAAUUAUUUUCUAGAAACUUCAAAUGCGCUAGAUCAAGUCUAACGGAGCCGAUCGUCGAUUCGAAAAUUCCAUCAUCGAAAACAACUCAGGAGCACGGAGGCCUCCGUGCUCCUGAGAGCACAGCAGCUCUGCACUAUAUAUAUAUAUAUAUAUAUAUAUAUAUAUAGAGAGAGAGAGAGAGAGAGAGAGAGAGAGAGAGAGAGAGAGAGUUGGGCUAGAAUACUAUUAAUAGCAAAACGUCAUUUUUGCUAUCAAGUUUUCAGCCAUUGGAUCAACUCCUUUCAUCAUUUCUAAUCAUUGGAUUAAAUACUAUAAACCAGUGGGGACCACUCAACCCUAGGGGACCACUCAACUCUAACUGACUAAUAUCAUCCUAACCCUACAAUUUCUCAUCCAAUGGUUAAAAACUUGAUAACAAAAAGAGCGUUUUGCUAUCAAUAUAUUCCAGCCUAAUUUUAUAUAUAUAUAUAUAGUUGAGCUAGAAUACUAUCGGUAGUAAACGAGCCGUUUUACUACCGAUUUGUUUUCGAUGAUAGAAUUUCCAAAUUGACGAUCGGCUCCGUUGAACAUGAUCUAUACCACUUAAAGUGUUUAGAAAUCAAAUUUUAAAUCUUUUCGACAUCAUUUGCCUAAUGAUCAAAGGGUUUCAAAAUUUGUAAUUUUAAUGGUCGAUAAGAAGCGUUUUCUCGUUUAACGGCGUAAAGAUAUCCAAAUCAAUUGAAUUUUUGUUAGAAAUUUUUAAACUAUUUAAAACAAGAUCUAUACUUUGAUCUUGAUUACAAGACUCCUAUCAUCAUUUUCUAAAGAGUAUUCAUUUUCAGCCAUUCAUUUUUCUGUUCACUUGAUGGAUAAAAGAACAAAGAACAAUAUCGAAAGUGCGUGAAAUUUGAUUUCUAGGUAGUUUAAAUGGUUUAGAUCAUAUUUAACGCGAGACCGCAUCGGAUCAAUUUGGGAAGCUCUAUCAUCGAAAACGAAAUCGCGUAGUAAAAAGUGGCUCCGAUUUACUACCGAGUAGUAUUCUAACUAACUCUAUAUAUAGUAUAUAUACUAUAUAUUUAUAUAUAUAUAUAUAUAUAUCAAUCAUUCAAAACAUAUAGUUUAUGGGCUUUAUCUGAAAAGAAAUUGUAGAUUGCUUUAUAAUGAUAGAGUCUAUGCGAGAAGUAUUGAUUGCCUUCAUUCUAAUUGAGGAUUAGCUAGGGCAAAGUGAGGAAACAUGAAAAAGGUCAUUAGGUUGCGUUAUUUGGAAAAGAUCAUAUACUAGAAGAAUGUCGCCUUUUGAUACAUUCUUGUUACCAUUUAGAAAGUAGGAAACUUAAUUACAGUACAGCAUCAAUUCGUUUCCUCUUUAUACUUUUGUAUCUUGUGGAGUUGCAUUACCAUUUAGGGACUGUUUGAAUUUAAAGUUUGUUUGGUUAGUGAUCAUGUAAUUUGAUUUAUUCAAAUUUUUCAGAAACAAAGUAUGCAGAUGCAUACGUUGCUAAAUUUGUUUGAUUUGAUCAUAAGCAGUCGAUUGAUCUUACUUGUUCAUUUCAUUUAUCCGCAAUAGAUCCAAAGAGAAAAAUUGAAAUUGUAACAAAAACUGAAAAAUGCAAGUAAUGAAGAAUGUUUCAUCUAAAAUUUUGCAGUACUAAUCCCUCUCGGAGUUUCUUUCUCACCAUACGAAUGGUACUGAUAUCGCAUCCUUAGAGUAAGAAAAGGAGAAAAACUAUGACUAGUAUGUGUACAAAUAGAGUGGUUCAACUACAAACACCACCAUGUUGGCAGGGAAAAAAAAAAAAGAACAAGAACAAGAACAAGAAAAAGAAAAUGGUGCUUGAUUAUGGUCAAUCGUGCCAACAAAGAAGCAUCACGACGCAACGUCGUAUAAUGUAUAGUUUGGCUCUUUGCUCCCUUAGAGCUCUGCUGAGCCCUCCUCUUUGCUUCUCCUGGCUAUGUAGCUUCAUUGUCAUGGCUUAAUUAGCUUGAACAGUUGUAAAGUGGAGAGGAGAAAAUAGUGUGUUGAGAAACAAUAAGUGAGAGAGAGAGAAGUAGAGGGUACUCUUUGCUAUCAAUUGUAGUUGGAUUGAAUAGUUUGAGGGGAUUCACAUAUGGAUUUUAUAGAGAGAUCAGGGAAAAUGGGGGGAAAUUAAGGGAGUGGUCCAACACCUAGAGGGCUUGUUAAUUAAGAGGUGCUUUCACACAAGUGUAGUAUCUUGAUUGUUACUUAGGAGACAAGGCUCUGAAUUCAUGUAUAUUGUUUUAUCUUUCUUGCUUCUUUUGCCUAUAAUUGUUUUGUUUUCUUUAAGCUAUAGAAAUUGUGGCCUUAAGCAAGCAUCAGAUAUUGAGGUAUAUUUGUCUCUCCUGCGCGCCUCUUUGACUGUACUGAGAAGUACUUCCUCGCCGAUCGAUUGCUUGAAGAAAACAAUGUUGAUAAAAUAUUACUUGUCGGAUCGUUAGCGCUAACCAUUAAUCCCAAAAGCUCGAGCUGUAGAAAUACGUAACCAAUUCACUUAAAGCGUACAGAUACAGCGCCCACAGGUCUCGGUUAUGACUCGGUCCAACCAGCCUCAUGUCACUUCGAACAUGACUCGGUCCAACCAGCCUCAUGUCACUUCGAACAUGACUCAACUCAGCCCAACAUAGCCUCUCGCCAUAGAACAGAAUGCUAACUCAUUUAAGCCAACAAUCCCCUCUCUAGCAUCUGCACACAUUUGCAGUAUUGGGGAAUCGAACUCGCGAUCUCUGGCUCUGAUACCACUUGUCGAAUCGUUGGCGGUAACCAUUCAUUCCAAAAGCACGUGCUGUUAGAAACAUACAACCAAUUCACUUAAAACAUACAGAUACAGUGCCCACGAGUCUCGAUUGUGACUCGGCCCAACAAGCCUCACGCCACUUCGAACAUGACUCGACCCAACGUGACCUUCUGCCACAGGACAAGUGCUGGCUUAUUUAAGCCAACAUUACAUUCGUACGCACGCAUUUU
rnacentral:lncRNA from 1 species